rnacentral:rRNA from 1 species
GACGAACGCUGGCGGCGUGCUUAACACAUGCAAGUCGAACGGGAUUUAGUAGACAGAAGCCUCGGCUAAAGAUUACUAAUGAGAGUGGCGAACGGGUGAGUAACGCGUGAGCAACCUGCCUAUGACAGUGGGAUAGCCUCGGGAAACCGGGAUUAAUACCGCAUAAAAUCGUAGAAACACAUGUUUCAACGGUCACAGAUUUAUCGGUCAUAGAUGGGCUCGCGUCUGAUUAGCUAGUUGGUGAGAUAACAGCCCACCAAGGCGACGAUCAGUAGCCGGUCUGAGAGGAUGAACGGCCACAUUGGAACUGAGACACGGUCCAAACUCCUACGGGAGGCAGCAGUGGGGAAUAUUGCACAAUGGGGGAAACCCUGAUGCAGCGACGCCGCGUGAACGAAGAAGGUAUUCGUAUCGUAAAGUUCUGUCCUAUGGGAAGAUAAUGACAGUACCAUAGAAGAAAGCUCCGGCUAAAUACGUG